GAUGAAGAACGCAGCGAAAUGCGAUAAGUAAUGUGAAUUGCAGAAUUCAGUGAAUCAUCGAAUCUUUGAACGCACAUUGCGCCCCUUGGUAUUCCGAGGGGCAUUCCUGUUCGAGCGUCAUUAUAACCCCUCAAGCUCAGCUUGGUGUUGGGGCCUGCUGCACUGGCAGCCCUUAAAAUCAGUGGCGGCGCCAUCUGGCUCUAAGCGUAGUAAUUCUUCUCGCUAUGGAGUCCUGGUGGAUGCUUGCCAUCAACCCCCAAUUUUUCUAUGGUUGACCUCGGAUCAGGUAGGGAUACCCGCUGAACUUAAGCAUAUCAAUAAGCGGAGGA
rnacentral:misc_RNA from 1 species